rnacentral:rRNA from 1 species
GUAGGUGGCAAGCGUUGUCCGGAAUUAUUGGGCGUAAAGCGCGCGCAGGCGGUUCUUUAAGUCUGAUGUGAAAGCCCACGGCUCAACCGUGGAGGGUCAUUGGAAACUGGAGAACUUGAGUACAGAAGAGGAAAGCGGAAUUCCACGUGUAGCGGUUAAAUGCGUAGAGAUGUGGAGGAACACCAGUGGCGAAGGCGGCUUUCUGGUCUGUAACUGACGCUGAGGCGCGAAAGCGUGGGGAGCAAACAGGGAUUAGAUACCCCGGUAGUCCACGCCGUAAACGAUGAGUGCUAAGUGUUAGGGGGUUUCCCGCCCCUUAGUGCUGCAGCUAACGCAUUAAGCACCCCGGCCUGGGGAGUACGGCCGCAAGGCUG